AUGCAGAAAUUAAACAAGAUUCAAACUCCAUGCAGAGAGGUGAACCACAACCAGAAUCACCGCCAAAAUCAGAACAAGAAAGCAUAUGGCCUGGCCGGGGCACUUCCAUCAGAACAUCCAAAUGUUGUGUGCACCAGUCCUUCAGAUUCUCCAGUACUCAAACUCGGUCUCCUCGGCACCACUAAAGAAGCGAGAAUGAUAGUCCUCCGAGUCACAAGGCUCCACAUUGAAAAACCAACAGUCAGACUCUUCACCAUUGCUGCGAUACCACCAAUAACUAUCCUGAUGAGAAUGACAUCUACUAACAGGGCUGCCAGGCUCGAAAUACUUGGAAGAAUCAUCGAUGGAGUCAUCAUGGAUGCCAGACCGAGGACACACCCAGUCAUCAGUUGGCGCAUAUGGAGAUACCUUCUUCAUCUUGACACGGGCACACUUUGCUCGCAUGCUGCUGUCCAUGAUUAUGUUGCCGCAAUAGCGUAUGUCAAGGGACUCGUGGUGAGGGCAGCCGCCAAGGAUGGCUGUCAACCCUUGGUUGUCGAGGCCACUGAGGAAAAUCUUCAGGGACCGUAG
rnacentral:rRNA from 1 species